rnacentral:piRNA from 1 species
UGAACAUAGGCAUAAACAAGGCUAUGGG